rnacentral:lncRNA from 1 species
UUUAUGAUUAUAUCUUUUUCUCUAGCCUUUGUAUGUACUCCAUAGACAUCAGGUGAAAUGAUGUCUUUUUCUUUUAAAGGCCAUUCUGGUUGGAGCUUUAGUGCUACUGGCGUAAGCACAAUCCAGGGAACUCUUGGGGACCCAAAGCCUGAGAUAGUGUUUGGAUGAGGCAAGGAUGAGGCUGUUCAGAAGGGUAUGUGUGUGAUUCAAAAGAAGAAAACACCAUCCCUGAGCUACAAGAGACUGAGGGAGCGUGGGAUUCAAGCUAACUCCCCAAGCAGACUCUUGCCCAGAUGCACAGUACUUGAUGCCAAAGCCACAUGGUCAUCCCACGGGGAAAACUCCCCUAGCACAGACUGGUGAAAAGAUGGAGGGCUUGGGCAUGAAGAGAGCUGGAUUGCCGCUUCAGCUUUGUCUUUCAUAGCUGCUCCCCUGGGUAAGUGAUUUUGUUUUCUCAUCUGUACAAUAAGGCUAGUCUUACCUUUCUCACAAGGUCAUCUUAAACAUUGAUUAAGGCAGCUUC